CCUACGGGCGGCAGCAGUGGGGAAUAUUGCACAAUGGGGGGAACCCUGAUGCAGCGACGCCGCGUGGGUGAAGAAGCGCCUCGGCGCGUAAAGCUCUGUUAGCAGGGAAGAAAAAGACGGUACCUGAAGAAGAAGCCCCGGCUAACUACGUGCAAGCAGCCGCGGUAAUACGUAGGGGGCAACAGUUAUCCGGAUUUACUGGGUGUAAAGGGGGCGCAGACGGCGAGGCAAGCCAGGAGUGAAAGCCCGGGGACCAACCCCGGGACUGCAGUUGAAACUGGGUGGCUGGAGUGCAGGAGGGGCAGGCGGAAUUCCUGGUGUAGCGGUGAAAUGCGUAGAUAUCAGGAGGAACACCGGUGGCGAAGGCGGCCUGCUGGACUGCAACUGACGUUGAGGCCCGAAAGCGUGGGGAGCAAACAGGAUUAGAUACCCCAGUAGUC
rnacentral:rRNA from 1 species